AAUAGAUACCCCGGUAGUCCACGCCGUAAACGAUGAGUGCUAAGUGUUAGGGGGUUUCCGCCCCUUAGUGCUGCAGCUAACGCAUUAAGCACUCCGCCUGGGGAGUACGGCCGCAAGGCUGAAACUCAAAGGAAUUGACGGGGGCCCGCACAAGCGGUGGAGCAUGUGGUUUAAUUCGAAGCAACGCGAAGAACCUUACCAGGUCUUGACAUCCUCUGACAACCCUAGAGAUAGGGCGUUCCCCUUCGGGGGACAGAGUGACAGGUGGUGCAUGGUUGUCGUCAGCUCGUGUCGUGAGAUGUUGGGUUAAGUCCCGCAACGAGCGCAACCCUUGAUCCUAGUUGCCAGCAUUUAGUUGGGCACUCUAAGGUGACUGCCGGUGACAAACCGGAGGAAGGUGGGGAUGAACGUCAAAGUCAUCAUGCCCCUUAUGACCUGGGCUACACACGUGCUACAAUGGAUGGUACAAAGGGCUGCCAAACCGCGAGGUUGAGCGAAUCCCAAUAAAACCAUUACUCACGUUCGGAUUACAGG
rnacentral:rRNA from 1 species